rnacentral:tRNA from 1 species
AGCAGCAUGGCCUAGUGGAUAGAGCAUAGGCCUGAGAGUCCGAAGGAGCUGGGUUCUAAUCCCAGCUCUGCCA